rnacentral:tRNA from 4 species
GCUGGGGUCUCCUAGCCAGGUAGGGAGGGGGCUUGCUAAGCCCUUGGCCUAAAAGGCCGCGCGGGUUCAAAUCCCGCCCCCAGCG